rnacentral:lncRNA from 1 species
GUAGCUAACUGAAGACAGAGACCUCUACUCUCUCAAGCACUCCAGAAGGAAUUAUAGAGAUUUAUCUGUGUCUCUCAGUGGGAAAUGAGGCAGAAGACUAGGGCAUGACAACAUGGUUGUCAACUGGCACGACCAGCCAGUUGAAGAGACUUGUUACCAUGGGCAGAGCAGCAGCUCCCGAGCCUGACACAAGAUCAAGCCAAGCCAAGCACCUGGUGCCAAUCUUCUGACAUAAGAACAUGCUGAACCUGACACCUAAUAUCAAUCUUCUGACAAGCUGAGCCUCGCACCUGAUCCCAAUCUUCCAGCACAGGAUUGAGUGGACCACCUGCAUCAACUACUGAAGACAUAAAAAGAUGGCAGCAAAUGACUUUGCACUACUGGAGUAUAGUUAUUGCAGUUCUGUUCUGUUGCAGGACAUAUCUUCUCUUUUUUCCUUCCAAGCAACCUUUUCUCCUUGAGGACUUCUUUUGUGCUUCUUUUCCUUUUCUUCUUCUUUGUGCCUUAAAUAAAUGUUAAUCUUUCACAUUCACAAACUGGUCUGUCCAAUUCAUUGAGCGAGACAAUAAGAGCCUGGAAAGCAUUGCUGGUCUCUGCGCCACUAAGUAACAAUAGGAAGGGCAUCUUUCUUGCCCAGAGAUCAAGGGAGAAGAGGACCCGGGCUCAGUGGAGCCCACUUCCAAGAAUUGGCCCAUUCCCAGCCCUCACAGACCUGCCUUUAGGACCCAGCCCUUAGGACCUGCGCACACCUCUCCCCACCCUACUGUGCUCCACACUCAGGCCCUGGGCUCCCACUCGACCAAAGACUGCAAGUGUAAAGUGCCCAAAGCACAGUCACUGAUGAUUCAGCAUGACACAUGCCCUUCACUGGCACAGUUGCUAUUUUUGACAUUUGUUUACCUUGGAAAGAAACGACAGAAGUAGAAGAGGAAAACACGGCCGAAUGGUGAUUUACACACAGCAGAGUCCCCAAGGGCACCUGAGGCGAUCACACGGUAUAAGGUGCAGUGAAAAGAGGUGUGUGGCUCCCGAAGGUCGGGGAGAGGCUGCAGCUUGGGUCCAAGCUCUGCUCACAAGGCUACGCUGAUGUCCUCGGGAGGCAAAGAUCUGGCAGGCGGUAUUGCUGCCACUCACAAGUGGACAGUCGUCAGCUGAGGGAGGCGAAGUGACCGCACAGUUGGUUCUCAGGCCCAGCGAAGUCAUAGAUCCAGAAGCCAGGAUUUGGUCUGACGCGUAUCGGCCAGCGCAAUGAGGUACACUACCUAUACCUCUGCACCCUGUUCAACACUCUCGUCUAACCUGGAUACAC